rnacentral:lncRNA from 1 species
CCAUCUCAAUGAUAUCUAGUUUGUAUCACAUAUUUUGUUUUCUUUAUCAUCAUGACAGCCAUGACUGAAAACAGCUUUCAUGGGGUAAAAAUAUGAGAUGGUGAGUGACUCAGACUUAUUGUAGCCUCUAUUUUGAUUCAUUAUGUUUUCAAAGAUAUAUCCACACAUGGAAGAUGGAUCAAUGUUUUCUAUUUCAAUAAGUAUUAUGAUGCAUUAAACAAUCCUAAAAUUU